UAUCUAUCUACAACUCUGUUCCGCAGAGUAGCUGUUGACAUUAUAGUUGCGCAGGCACUUUGUUGACUCUAGAGAACCUCGGGCCAAUCGCACAUCCCCGUGACGGCGACUUGCAGAUGUCAUCCAUAUAAACUUUCGAUGCCAGUUUCUGCGCCUACCAUGGUGACCACGGGUAACAGGGAAUCAGGGUUCCAUUCCAUACAGGGACCCUGAGAAAUGCCUACCACAUGCAAGGAAGGCA